CCUACGGGAGGCAGCAGUAAGGAAUAUUGGACAAUGCUCGCAAGAGUGAUCCAGCCAUGCCGCGUGCAGGAAGAAUGCCCUAUGGGUAGUAAACUGCUUUUGAACUAGAGAAAACCCCAGUACGUGUACUGGGCUGAUAGUAUAGUUAGAAUAAGCAUCGGCUAACUUCGUGCCAGCAGCCGCGGUAAGACGAAGGAUGCAAGCGUUAUCCGGAUUCAUUGGGUUUAAAGGGAGCGUAGGUGGACUGAUAAGUCAGUGGUGAAAUCUCCGAGCUUAACUCGGAAAUUGCCAUUGAUACUGUUGGUCUUGAGUACAGUUGCUGUGGGCGGAAUAUGACAUGUAGUGGUGAAAUACAUAGAGAUGUCAUAGAACACCGAUUGCGAAGGCAGCUCACAAAGCUGUAACUGACACUGAGGCUCGAAAGUGCGGGGAUCAAACAGGAUUAGAUACCCUGGUAGUCUGCACCGUAAAACGAUGAUUACUCGCUGCUAGGGGGCAACCUUUAGUGGCUUAGCGAAAAGCGAUAAGUAAUCCACCUGGGGAGUACGCCGGCAACGGUGAAACUANAAGAGUUAGUUAGACGNGNGAGAGCGACGAGCACAGGAGGGAGAG
rnacentral:rRNA from 1 species